rnacentral:lncRNA from 1 species
AAUCAAUUAUGGGAAAAAUCAUAACUUCCUUAGAAGGUAAGAAUCAUGCAUGAAAGUCAAACAGUAGGCAAUUCCUGGUAAAAUCUUGGGCAUGAAAAGCAGCAGGAUAUUCUUAAAAUAAAUAGGCAGAAACGAGCACAAAACAACAGCAACAACAAUAUGACAGCAAAAAUAGCAGAUAAUAACAGUAACAACGAAGAAUGCCUCCCCCCCACUUAAAACACAUAGUCCUCGAUGUGAAAGUAAAAGGAAAACAAAUAGGUGGAGAAAAAAAAGUUUAGAAAAACUCCCCAUGUAGUUACCGUCGGUUGGCGCACACGGUGGAGAAGAAGAUGGCGAAGCGGCAAGAGGUGGAGACGGG